rnacentral:misc_RNA from 1 species
UACAAUAUUCAUGCCAUAACAUGUGGUCUAUUGAGAGGAAAAAGAAGCCUCCACAUCUACCUCAAGGAAUAAACAACUUUAUUCGCUACAUGAGGUAAAAUACUUCAGUGAAACAGCAAACAAACNNNNNNNAUGGCAAGAGAAACAAAUUCUUUUCCAAUGCCCUAUGCCCCAACAACAAAAAGGGCUUCGGGUUGCCUCUUGAGGAAGUCCUUAGUAACUCUAACAACAUGACACAUCUUCC